AGUGAACGCUGGCGGUAGGCCUAACACAUGCAAGUCGAACGGCAGCACAGUAAGAGCUUGCUCUUACGGGUGGCGAGUGGCGGACGGGUGAGGUAUACAUCGGAAUCUACUUUUUCGUGGGGGAUCACGUAGGGAAACUUAAGCUAAUACCGCAUACGACCUACGGGUGAAAGCAGGGGAUCUUCGGACCUUGCGCGAUUGAAUGAGCCGAUGUUGUACUGGCUAGUUGGCGGGGGAAAGGCCCACCAAGGCGACGAUCCGUAGCUGGUCGGAGAGGAGGGUCAGCCACAGUGGAACUGAGGCACGCUCCAUACGCCUACGGUAGGCAGCAGUGGGGAAUAUGGGGCAAUGGGCGCAAACCUGAUCCAGCCAUACCGCGUGGGUGAAGGAGGCCUUCGGGUUGUAAAGCCCUUUUGUUGGGAAAGAAAAGCAGCAGGUUAAUACCCCGCUGUUCUGACGGUACCCAAAGAAGAAGCACCGGCUAACUUCGUG
rnacentral:rRNA from 1 species